GCCGUGGGUUCCAUCCUUCAACGCGUCGACGGGCUGUCCAAUCAAACUUGCUGUACUACCUAAACGCGUCCUGCGCGGGCGGAGGCCGGCGCAUGGGCGCUAGUUGAACCGAUGCCAUGAACCGAGGGAGGCGAGAAAUCGAGCACCUUGAGUGGCGGCAGUAACGUAGUGUAUUGGAUCGCAGCUCUGAGCG
rnacentral:SRP_RNA from 1 species